GUUGGGAAUCUUGGACAAUGGGGGAAACCCUGAUCCAGCCAUGCCGCGUGAGUGAUGAAGGCCUUCGGGUUGUAAAACUCUUUCGACGGGGACGAUAAUGACGGUACCCGUAGAAGAAGCUCCGGCUAACUUCGUGCCAGCAGCCGCGGUAAUACGAAGGGGGCUAGCGUUGUUCGGAAUUACUGGGCGUAAAGCGCGCGCAGGCGGUUUUUCAAGUCAGUGGUGAAAGCCCGGAGCUCAACUCCGGAACUGCCAUUGAAACUGUAAAACUUGAGGACGAGAGAGGUGAGUGGAAUUCCCAGUGUAGAGGUGAAAUUCGUAGAUAUUGGGAAGAACACCGGUGGCGAAGGCGGCUCACUGGCUCGUAUCUGACGCUCAGGCGCGACAGCGUGGGGAUCAAACAGGAUUAGAAACCCUUGUAGUCC
rnacentral:rRNA from 1 species